UACGAGGGGGGCGAGCGUUGUUCGGAAUUAUUGGGCGUAAAGGGUGCGUAGGCGGUUUGGUAAGUCUUGUGUGAAAUCUACAGGCUCAACUUGUAGUCUGCACGAGAAACUGCCGGGCUUGAGUAUGGGAGAGGUGAGUGGAAUUCCUGGUGUAGCGGUGAAAUGCGUAGAUAUCAGGAGGAACACCUGUGGCGAAGGCGGCUACCUGGACCAGCACUGACACUGAAGCACGAAAGCGUGGGGAGCAAACAGG
rnacentral:rRNA from 1 species